GACGACCGCUGGCGGCGUGCCUAAUACAUGCAAGUCGAGCUUACGGAUGGGAGCUUGCUCCCAGACCGUCAGCGGCCGACGGGUGAGUAACACGUGGGCAACCUGCCUGUAAGACUGGGAUAACUCCGGGAAACCGGGGCUAAUACCGGAUAAGUCUUUCCCUCACAUGAGGUAAAGCUGAAAGAUGGCAUCUCGCUAUCACUUACAGAUGGGCCCGCGGCGCAUUAGCUAGUUGGUGAGGUAACGGCUCACCAAGGCUACGAUGCGUAGCCGACCUGAGAGGGUGAUCGGCCACACUGGGACUGAGACACGGCCCAGACUCCUACGGGAGGCAGCAGUAGGGAAUCUUCCGCAAUGGACGAAAGUCUGACGGAGCAACGCCGCGUGAGUGAUGAAGGUUUUCGGAUCGUAAAACUCUGUUGUCAGGCCAGAACAAGUACCGGAGUAACUGCCGGUACCUUGACGGUACCUGACCAGAAAGCCACGGCUAACUACGUGCCAGCAGCCGCGGUAAUACGUAGGUGGCAAGCGUUGUCCGGAAUUAUUGGGCGUAAAGCGCGCGCAGGCGGUUCCUUAAGUCUGAUGUGAAAGCCGGCGGCUCAACCGGGGAGGGUCAUUGGAAACUGGGGAACUUGAGUGCAGAAGAGAAGAGUGGAAUUCCACGUGUAGCGGUGAAAUGCGUAGAGAUGUGGAGGAACACCAGUGGCGAAGGCGACUCUUUGGUCUGUAACUGACGCUGAGGCGCGAAAGCGUGGGGAGCAAACAGGAUUAGAUACCCUGGUAGUCCACGCCGUAAACGAUGAGUGCUAAGUGUUAGAGGGUUUCCGCCCUUUAGUGCUGCAGCAAACGCAUUAAGCACUCCGCCUGGGGAGUACGGCCGCAAGGCUGAAACUCAAAGGAAUUGACGGGGGCCCGCACAAGCGGUGGAGCAUGUGGUAAAAUUCGAAGCAACGCGAAGAACCUUACCAGGUCUUGACAUC
rnacentral:rRNA from 1 species